rnacentral:rRNA from 1 species
GAUGAACGCUGGCGGCGUGCCUAAUACAUGCAAGUCGAGCGAACGGACGAGAAGCUUGCUUUUCUGAUGUUAGCGGCGGACGGGUGAGUAACACGUGGAUAACCUACCUAUAAAACUGGGAUAACUUCGGGAAACCGGAGCUAAUACCGGAUAAUAUUUUGAACCGCAUGGUACAAACGUGAAAGACGGCCUUGCUGUCAUUAAUAGACGGAUCAGCGCUGCAUUAGCUAGAUGGUAAGGUAACGGCAUACCAAGGCAACGAUGCAUAGCCGACCUGAGAGGGUGAUCGGCCAGCCUGGAACUGAGACACAGUCCAGACACCUGCAGGAAGCAGCAGUAGGAAAUCUUCCGCAAUGGGGGAGAGCCUAACAGAGCAACGCCGCGUGAGUGAUGAAGGUCUUCGGACGGUAAAACUCUGUAAUUAGGGAAAAACAUAUGUGUAAGUAACUGUGCACAUCUUGACGGUACCUAAUAAGAAAGCCACGGCUAACUACGUG